UGAAAAAUAAACACUAGAGAGGGGGGAUGGGGGAGUACAAGUCGAGAACAAAAGAAACUCAAGGGACAUCAUCAUCUCCCGAUGUCAGCUCACCAAUCCUAACACCCGCACGCUUCCAUAAGGCGGCCUCCUCCUUGAUCAAGACAAGCACAACAGCAGGAGAGCUAAGUUUAUGUUGAAAUACACACCGGUUUCUCUCUUUCCACAUCUCCCACAAGGUGAGCAAGAAGAUAGAUGCAAAAGCCUUGGCAGGAAGCUUGCAAAGGGGCUUAGCCGAAGUGAUGCGAUCAGCCCACCACAACCUGAUAGAGGAGAUAUCAGCCUAAGCGCUCGGAUGGAAGAGCAGAUCCCUGUCCAGCCGGCAAUUAAACCCCAAAUGGACCUUGCGAAGCGACAGUCAGCAAGGAUAUGAAUCGCCGUCUCCUCAAUGGUGUGGCAAAAAGGGCACCACUUAUCAUUGGGGAUGUUC
rnacentral:lncRNA from 1 species